UACGUAGGGCGCAAGCGUUGUCCGGAAUUAUUGGGCGUAAAGAGCUCGUAGGUGGUUUGUCGCGUCUGCCGUGAAAACCCGAGGCUUAACCUCGUGGCUUGCGGUGGAUACGGGCAGACUAGAGGUAGGUAGGGGAGAAUGGAAUUCCCGGUGUAGCGGUGAAAUGCGCAGAUAUCGGGAGGAACACCGGUGGCGAAGGCGGGUCUCUGGGCCGAUACUGACGCUGAGGAGCGAAAGCGUGGGGAGCGAACAGG
rnacentral:rRNA from 1 species